rnacentral:rRNA from 1 species
GCUCAACCGGGGAGGGUCAUUGGAAACUGGGGAACUUGAGUGCAGAAGAGGAGAGUGGAAUUCCACGUGUAGCGGUGAAAUGCGUAGAGAUGUGGAGGAACACCAGUGGCGAAGGCGACUCUCUGGUCUGUAACUGACGCUGAGGCGCGAAAGCGUGGGGAGCGAACAGGAUUAGAUACCCUGGUAGUCCACGCCGUAAACGAUGAGUGCUAAGUGUUAGAGGGUUUCCGCCCUUUAGUGCUGCAGCAAACGCAUUAAGCACUCCGCCUGGGGAGUACGGUCGCAAGACUGAAACUCAAAGGAAUUGACGGGGGCCCGCACAAGCGGUGGAGCAUGUGGUUUAAUACGAAGCAACGCGAAGAACCUUACCAGGUCUUGACAUCCUUUGACAACCCUAGAGAUAGGGCUUCCCCUUCGGGGGCAGAGUGACAGGUGGUGCAUGGUUGUCGUCAGCUCGUGUCGUGAGAUGUUGGGUUAAGUCCCGCAACGAGCGCAACCCUUGAUCUUAGUUGCCAGCAUUCAGUUGGGCACUCUAAGGUGACUGCCGGUGACAAACCGGAGGAAGGUGGGGAUGACGUCAAAUCAUCAUGCCCCUUAUGACCUGGGCUACACACGUGCUACAAUGGGCAGAACAAAG